rnacentral:lncRNA from 1 species
CCUGCGUGAGCCGUGCGCCGGGCGGAGAACAGCGCUGCGCGGGGCUGCGUGCGGGUCCGGCGCUACGGCCCGAGGACACCGACCGCAUCAGCAAAUGACCCCUGUGUUCUGACGCGUUCGAAUUAGCUUUUCUUCCACCAGAAACGUUUUAAUUGAAUAAUCACGUGGGAGACGAUGUUCCGUUGUUUUACUUUGCUCCUGGUGCGUGCACGUCGGGCUGCAGCGCCUGCAUCUGCACGUGUCCUCUCACGGCCGCGACGGCCGCUGGUCUCAGGGACGGGCAUUGGAACCUCGCUGUGCUGCUGUGGGCACAUCUCGGCUCCGAGACGUCCUGAGAUCUGACACCGACUUCAUGCAAAUUCCACAAGAAAACAGUGUUGAGGUUCACGGCAGCUGCAGACGUACAGCUCACGACCUCACCCGUCAGCGGGUUUGCAACGUAAGGCUGCUCUCAUUUCAACAGCGAGAGCAAUUCAGGGCAUUUUAAACGCAGCAGAGUGCCUCAUUUCGGAGCCCGCCCUGCCCUAAUUGAAUGCCAAGCCCUUGAUGUAACUUACUGAUAGCACAACGUGUAAUGCUAUCUGGGAAGGUACGGCACCGUAUCAUUAAGGACUUGUCAGAGCACUCCUCUGUGACGGCGGUACACGUAAGGUGAGCUGCGAAUUCGUCAGUGGCGGAAUAAGAAGCUUUAUAACCAACCCUUCCGUUCCUUUCCUGCCUCAGCCACAGGCACUGCCUCCAACACCCCGCGAGCGUCCGAAACACAGCGACACAAAGCCUCAUCUCCACAGCCUGUUGGCAUCUCCAGGACACUCAUGGGAUGAGCAGCCCGCCGCCAGGGAACGCAAAAGGCACUCACACAGAAAAUAUAUUUACUUAAAUAAAACAGAACUCCUCCUGUCCACAAGAUGGGAUGCAUUACCACGUCACUGCCUCGUGUUUCUUGAUGCUGCGCUGUUAGCGCUGCCAAAUUGCCGGAGCUGCUGUUCUGUGUGGGAGGUGUUAAAACCUUUUUUUAGACAGAGAUAAUUGGAUCAUCUGAAGGAUGUUGAUGGUUUUAUUCUCAGUCGAUUUUCUUAAAUAUUUUUGCUAACGUUAUUGGUGCGGAAGGAAUACUGUCUAGCAGACUGAGCAAGCUGCCAGAGGGUGCGAGAGGUCUUCAGCAUAGCUGUGAAUAAAGCCCCAAAAGAUUUACUACUUCCUUACUACGAAACAGAGCCGAGCAUCGGCCACACGGCUGAGAGCAGAGCGCAGCCUUCACUGCAGGUCUGUGCUGUAAGCGUGGGGGUUGGUUUCCUCCUAUGCCAACACUGAGACGUGCUCUGCCCCCCAGACAGAAAAAUCCCUCAUUCCGUCAUCCAUUCCGUUUUCCUUUGGUGUCACUGCUCUCUUUUUGCACCCACCAGCAAUGUGCUCUGCUUUCAGGUAGGAGAGACCAAGUAGUGCUCCUGUGUAACCAAAGGCAUCCUCCUCUGUUCACUACUGUUCCAAUACUACAGCUCACCAAAUGAUUUUAUACAGCUCCCAAGGAAAAGCAGGUUUAAAACGGAGCCGACGGGAAUAUAAUUUCCUAAUAUAAUUAGGAAAUAUUUCAGAACCAAACUUGCAUUGCCACCGAUGUCCUGGGAAGUGCAGCCGUGGUUUCGUUCUGUUGCCUGGGGAGCACCACAGGAGUUGCACAGCCCUGCUGGGGAUGGCACUGCCUGCUCUGCCUUCAGACGGCUGCAGUGUGAAGAGGUCGUGACACGAAGACAUGAAGGUGGACCACAGUGUUAAAUAAAUCUUAUUAGAAUUAUUUAAAAGUCUUUCAUUUGCUUCUUUUAUUAAAUUCAUUUCCCUCUCGUCCAUUGAACCAUCCUAUGGAAUCAAUGUCAUUAAUCAAAUGGAUUUUUGUGGAAGAGUGGUUAAGUACUUACGAUGGCAUAAGAAGUGCUAAUAUCAAUAAAACUUCUUAUCAACGGAAUUUCCUCCUGACUGAAUUGAAAUCCAGCCGUGGGUGCACAAACUGCUUUCCCCAGGCAUCACUCUCAGAUGUUAUGGGCAGCCAAAACACCAAUUCUGCCAGUUCUCUUUCUUUAUGCCACCAACAACUGUCUAAUGCUGGACCAAACCACAUCUGUGCUGACAGAUUCGUGGUUUAAAGCUCCCUCUAUAAUUCUGUCUUUCAGACAAAAUCAGGAGAUGUAGCAAAGUUCUUUCCAUUAAUGCAGAAAGAAAUGCAAAACGAUGACCUUUGUAAAGGUGCUGUACAGCCCUUAUAGCUGCAUUGGAAAUUCCUUGCCAUCGUCUUCUACUUAUUCUCUCCUAUUUAUUUUUAGCAAACACUAAGUUGUGUGCUCUACUAAAUCCA